rnacentral:rRNA from 1 species
UACGUAGGGCGCAAGCGUUAUCCGGAAUUAUUGGGCGUAAAGAGCUCGUAGGUGGUUCGGUAAGUCGGAUGUGAAAUCUCCAGGCUCAACCUGGAGGGGUCAUUCGAUACUGCCGUGACUAGAGGUCGGUAGGGGAGUGUGGAAUUCCUGGUGGAGCGGUGAAAUGCGCAGAUAUCAGGAGGAACACCCGUAGCGAAGGCGGCACUCUGGGCCGAUACUGACACUGAGGAGCGAAAGCGUGGGGAGCGAACAGG